UCAGCCCAACAUGGCGAUGCACAACAAGGCGGCGCCGCCGCAGAUCCCGGACACCCGGCGGGAGCUGGCGGAGCUCGUGAAGCGGAAGCAGGAGCUGGCGGAAACAUUGGCAAACUUGGAGCGACAGAUCUAUGCUUUUGAGGGAAGCUACCUGGAAGACACUCAGAUGUAUGGCAAUAUUAUUCGUGGCUGGGAUCGGUAUCUGACCAACCAAAAAAACUCCAAUAGCAAAAAUGAUCGAAGGAACCGGAAGUUUAAGGAAGCUGAGCGGCUCUUCAGUAAAUCCUCAGUUACUUCAGCAGCUGCAGUAAGUGCAUUGGCAGGAGUUCAGGACCAGCUCAUUGAAAAGAGGGAGCCAGGAAGUGGGACGGAAAGUGACACUUCUCCAGACUUCCACAAUCAGGAAAAUGAGCCCAGCCAGGAGGACCCUGAGGAUCUGGAUGGAUCUGUGCAGGGAGUGAAACCUCAGAAAGCUGCUUCCUCUACUUCCUCAGGGAGUCACCACAGCAGCCAUAAAAAGCGAAAGAAUAAAAACCGGCACAGGUAUGUAUAUUAGGUUAGGCUGGGAAGUUUUUUUUAAAAACAGAAAAACGUGAUGGAGGAUUGAUCUGAAGUUAAACAAAAAACCACGAGCUGACUAUUAGAAGACACGUUAGUGCAGAAGCUUCCAGGCUGUAGAGCCCUGCUUCCCUUCUCUGACCUCACAAAGAUAAACAUCCUUCACCUGAGUUCGUGGCCAUCCACCUCUGCUCUCCCAGACCCAGUGCCUGUGACUUUGAGUAGUUUGUUCUAAAUGUGGUGACAAACAAGUCAUUUCUGUAAGACAUUGGGUCUUACUUUAUGUCAUUUUUAGUAACAGAACUGCGGGAAGACCAAGACAAUGUUGUAAUCCCUGCAAGUUGCUAACUGUGCGUUUCUCCCUUCUUAGAAUGAAUGUCUCCCCCAAAACUGGCUGGCACCAGCUUCAUCUGUGAUACCCAUCAAGAAAUGUUCUCUGGUUUUGUUUUAUGCUGAAAGUAGAACACAAGUCACAUUUCAGAUGGAGGCUGUAAAUAUCUGGCAUUUUCUUAUAUUGUUUUAUGUUUUCUUGUUUUUCUCUUGUUGUUUUUAUCUUAUUUUCUUUGGGGUUUUUUUGUAAUGCCUUUGUACAGCUCAUACUUUCCUGCUGACAUAUCUGAUCAUCUCUUUCAUGCAGUUGCCAAUAACCAUAACUGAAAAUAAUCUGGUUUAUCAUAAGUAAAAUGGGAAACUUGCCUCUGUUUUUUGCAAGGGGAGGUAAAGAGUGUUUAGUAAUUACCUAUCUUAAAUCUUUCCGAGUUGGUAGUAGAUUCAUGUUCAAGGAACAUGAAAAAUGGAAAAACAUAAGUUUAAAUCAAUUCUUUUUAAAUAACUAUUUUUAUUCUUUUGUAU
rnacentral:sRNA from 1 species